rnacentral:snoRNA from 1 species
AAGAGCCAUGAUGAUGCGUUAUCCCUGUCUGAAGGCAGCAGCCUUCUGUGUGGAUAUUGCGUGACUGACGCUCAG